rnacentral:rRNA from 1 species
UACGUAGGGUGCGAGCGUUAAUCGGAAUUAUUGGGCGUAAAGGGUGCGUAGGCGGUUUGGUAAGUCUCUUGUGAAAUUUAUGGGCUCAACUCAUAAACUGCAAGGGAAACUGCCGGGCUUGAGUAUGGGAGAGGUGAGUGGAAUUCCUGGUGUAGCGGUGAAAUGCGUAGAUAUCAGGAGGAACACCUGUGGCGAAAGCGGCUCACUGGACCAUAACUGACGCUGAUGCACGAAAGCUAGGGGAGCAAACAGG